CGGACGGGUGAGUAACGCGUGGAAAACCUGCCGUAUACUGGGGGAUAACACUUAGAAAUAGGUGCUAAUACCGCAUAAGCGCACAGCUUCGCAUGAAGCGGCGUGAAAAACUCUGGUGGUAUACGAUGGUUCCGCGUCUGAUUAGCUAGUUGGUGGGGUAAUGGCCUACCAAGGCAACGAUCAGUAGCCGGCCUGAGAGGGUGAACCGGCCACAUUGGGACUGAGACACGGCCCAAACUCCUACGGAAGGCAGCAG
rnacentral:rRNA from 1 species